rnacentral:sRNA from 1 species
AUUAUUUCGGUAGGUGAGGUUACCACAGGGAUUGGGCUUUUUAUCCCGAAGAUUGCUGCCGCGGGACCGUGGAGACACGGUUAGAUGGUCAGCAGGCCGCGUCGUGAAGGCGCAGCCUAAUGCAAUUGAUAUGCCCUGUGAUGCUAAAGCUUGAACGAUG